AUACAUUAUACCAGUGCCUUCUCUUUUUUGCAGGCUCUUAAAGGCAAAGGCUCCUUUCCUUGUCCAAUCUAAUAGGAGAAAAUUCAUGGGCUGGCACCAGAAAAACAACAACAACCUACAAAUCCUGACUUUCAAUAACUGGAGUGUUUGUACACUGGAUGACCCUUUGUUUAUUUGUUGUGUGCCAGACUCAUUGCCAGAAGAGGAUAAAUCUGACCCUAAAGUUAUGAAAGCUUUGUCUUGCCUAGACAGAUGCUGCUGCUGAUAAUGAUGAUUGUGCUUCAUUGUUAUGCCUGUUUGGCUUUCAAGCUUUUCAUGAGAACCAAGACACAUUAAGUAUUGGAAGCUGAAGAUUCACCAGAUGGUUCCGCUGAUCUCUGAAAAAGAGGGAAAACAACUACAUCGGUAGUGCUGCUUGCACCAAUAUUAAUCAAUGUUAAUCAAAAUCUGGACUGACUUUCUUUUCUUUAAAAAACAGAUAGAUAUAUUGCAUAACUUAAAAGGUUAUUGAGAAAUUAA
rnacentral:lncRNA from 1 species